GAUGAACGCUGGCGGCGUGCUUAACACAUGCAAGUCGAACGGACUUUUGAUGAAGCCUAGCGAUUCAAAAGUUAGUGGCGGACGGGUGAGUAACGCGUGGGUAACCUGCCUCGUACAGGGGGAUAACAGUUAGAAAUGACUGCUAAUACCGCAUAACCCGCUAGGGCCGCAUGGCCCGGACGGAAAAGAUUUAUCGGUACGAGAUGGACCCGCGUCUGAUUAGCUAGUUGGUGAGGUAACGGCCCACCAAGGCGACGAUCAGUAGCCGGCCUGAGAGGGUGACCGGCCACAUUGGGACUGAGACACGGCCCAAACUCCUACGGGAGGCAGCAGUGGGGAAUAUUGGGCAAUGGGGGAAACCCUGACCCAGCAACGCCGCGUGAAGGAAGAAGGCCUUCGGGUUGUAAACUUCUUUUAGUAGGGACGAAGAACGUGACGGUACCUACAGAAAAAGCAACGGCUAACUACGUG
rnacentral:rRNA from 1 species